UACGUAGGGUGCAAGCGUUGUCCGGAAUUAUUGGGCGUAAAGAGCGUGUAGGCGGCUCGGUAAGUCCGCUGUGAAAGUCCAGGGCUCAACCCUGGAAUGCCAGUGGAAACUGUCGAGCUAGAGUCCGGAAGAGGCGAGUGGAAUUCCUGGUGUAGCGGUGAAAUGCGCAGAUAUCAGGAGGAACACCAAUGGCGAGGGCAGCUCGCUGGGACGGUACUGACGCUGAGACGCGAAAGCGUGGGGAGCAAACAGG
rnacentral:rRNA from 1 species